UACAGAGGGUGCAAGCGUUGUUCGGAAUUAUUGGGCGUAAAGAGUGCGUAGGUGGUUUAGUAAGUUGGAAGUGAAAGCCCGGGGCUUAACCUCGGAAUAGCUUUCAAAACUACUAAUCUAGAGUGUAGUAGGGGAUGAUGGAAUUCCUAGUGUAGAGGUGAAAUUCUUAGAUAUUAGGAGGAACACCAGUGGCGAAGGCGGUUGCCUGGAGCUUUGCUGACGCUGAGGCGCGAAAGCGUGGGGAGCGAUCCGG
rnacentral:rRNA from 1 species